UAGCGUAGGGUGCAAGCGUUUGUCCGGAAUUAUUGGGCGUAAAGAGCUCGUAGGCGGUUUGUUGCGUCGGCUGUGAAAACCUGAGGCUCAACCUCAGGCCUGCAGUCGAUACGAGCAGACUAGAGUGUUGCAGGGGAGACUGGAAUUCCUGGUGUAGCGGUGAAAUGGCGCAGAUAUCAGGAGGAACACCGGUGGCGAAGGCGGGUCUCUGGGCAACAACUGACGCUGAGGAGCGAAAGCGUGGGGGAGCAAACAGG
rnacentral:rRNA from 1 species